AGGUUUCAAUAUGUUGGGGCGCGCUGGUUAAUUGACUCAAAUUUUUAGCCAAAUUCUAAUUUCCCUCUAUCCUAGAAACUGACGCCAAAUUCUAAUUUAACUCUCUAGAGUCCAGAUCAACUCUCCAUUCUUCUCUUCUUCUGUGUUUUUUUUUUUUUUUUUGCUUCUCAGUCUCCACCAAAAAUAGAGAAAAAAAAACCCAAACCCUCACCCCUGGCUUCGAUUAACCAUGCAAAAGCCAAGCCGGUGUCUUUUCCAGAUUUGAAUAUAUGCAAGUCGACUAUAAGAACUGUUUACGGCGUCAAUCUCUUCUCUUCGGAACCGAACUCGCCGCCGAGAGAAAAGACUUCUCCUCCGCUCAGAUCUGCAGUCUUCGUCCCACAGUCCCACUCGAUCUCAGCUCGACCAUGCUUUCGUCAGCCUCAUUCUCUGCAAAGCCGUCUCCAAGCUCGGUGAGGCUCGUUGUCCGCGCAUUUCUGAUUCUGAUUGAGUUGGGAUUGAGAUUCUGCUUCGUACAUUUAAGCUGUCUCACAGAGAGUGCUACUUUUUGCUGCUCGAUCUUAAGUGCAAUCUGCAAGAAGGGAUGGAGGGAAAUCCUUCUGCUAAAACCAUGAAGAAUGUUUCAAGAGGCAUGGCUGUUCUUACAGUUUUGUUUACCAUGGGCUUUCCAAAGAGUGGAGCAUGAGUUCCAAGGUUCAAUUCCCAAGAGCUGCGUGCAUUGUCAAUUUAUGUUCUCAAAGCAUCUUGCACUGCCCGUUGAAUUCAAUGAAUUGGCUAUGUGGCUGUUCAUAUCUAGAUAAGUAUAUGAAAUGUUUCAGUUGUUAUAAAUAUUGUUCGGUUAAUCUCUGUUGGAAGUUAUGCUAAUCAAAUGUGUUGAAUGCCAAAAUAUUCCCCAAGGCAGUUUCAUCUUUCAAUCGCAUGGCGGUUAGUUCCACAAGGAGGGCGAUCACCUCGUGAAAAUUUUCCCUGAAAAUAUGCAGGUUUAUACGCCAGGAAUUAUCCUAAAAAUUGUUAAAUGUUGUUGUUCCUUUCUUCGAUUAGUUUGCUUUAUUUUUCUGUAUCUAGCCAUCUUCUUGUGAAAAUUUGCAGGUUUAUACACCAGGAAUUAUCCUAAAAAUCGUCAAAUGUUGCUGUUCCUUUCUUCGAUUAGUUUUCUUUGUUUUUCUGUAUAUUUAGCCGUCUUCUCGUGAAAUUUUGCCCUGAAAAUUUGCAGAUUUAUGCGCGAGGAAUUAUCCUAAUUCUAAAAAUUGUUAAAUGUUGCUGUUCCUUUCGAUUAGUUUGCUUUAUUUUUCUGUAUCUUUAAUUACUAAAUUUAAGGGUCUUGAUUUUCAAAUGAAAAAAGAAAAAAGAAAAAAAAAAUUGUUCUCUGUUUCUGGUUUAUUAUAUAUAUGACUCAAAUCAAGCCCUUCCUUGCAAUGCUACAACUAGAAUGAUCCUAUGUUCGUGUCUGGCAUUCCAUAUGUGUAAAAUGCUCUUUGGCCAUUGCUGCAGGACAUUCCACAGGAUGAGAACUCCAAAGAUCAGUUUCUAAUUCAAUCCAAGUCAGGGGGUACCCAGGUUUUAUGGAAUAAUGUGCAGAAAUUGAAAUCUGAGCCCGUGUACAAGAAUUCUGCUUGUGGUAGUGGUCGGAGUUUAUCAGUUUGGAACCUUCCUGCUUCUGAAUGCAUUUAAAGGACUUCAACUUGUGCAUAUGUACAGGAUGUAGUAUUUGAUGAAAAUCAAAUAUUAGUAGUUGGAGCAGAGCCUCUACUUAGCCGUUUUGAGAUAAAUGAGGCGAUUCUUUCACAAAUGCAAUGUGCUCCUCCCCAGUCAGCCUUUUCUGUCUCAUUACAUACAUCUGGGGUUACAACAAUAGGAGGUUAUGGAGGAGUUGUGGAUGUUAUUUCCCAGUUCGGAAGCCAUUUGUGCACGGUUGGCUGAAAUGUGUUUAGAUAGAGCUCACUCUUGUCUUCAGAUAUGGUGUGCUCAAAACCUGAAAGCAGCGGAGGUGUUCUUCUCUAUGGACCCUCGGGAACAGAAAAGACAUUGCUAGCCAGAGCAAUUGCAAGCAACAUAGAUGCUAACUUUCUAAAGAGUUCUGGAACAGUGUGCACUCAGAUUUUUGUAAUAUUUCAAAUUCAAUUAUGGCACUUGAUAUGCGGUCCAGAAGAGCAAAGAGAUUAUUAGAAGAGCAUGAUGGUGAGAAUUGUAAAGGUGAAGAAGAAGUGCAAGCAAUGGACAAUUGUCACAGACUUUGUCCACUGAUAGCUGAAACUGGAAAUAUUGGUUUUGCUAUGCAAGCAAUGCAUCAGAGUAAAUCAAUGAAAUCAAGAAAUGAUGAACCACUUAUGGGAAAUUUUGUAUCAAACUGCUCAAGGCUUUGAACUGAGAUGGUGGAAAUGAAAGGCAAUGUGCAGUCAUUGGGAGAUCAAGCUUGGAACACCCAGCAAGUUGUAUUAUUAUUUAUCAUUAUGUAAACCUUAUGAAAUUAGAAAGCUUGUUAAGCUAAUGAAAUGGAUUAAUGCUUUAUGAAAUUGCCUUUGUUGAAUCUAUUGGAAUUUAUUAUGAAAGUUGCUUUUAGUAAAA